UCGUGCUGUCGGCAUCGGGUACUACAAACGAUGGCAUCACUCUAAACAGAAGGACAUCUAGGCGCCUAGCUUAGUUAUGACAGCCUUGCAUCGACUCUCUUUUUUGGGCACAGCAAGCUUCUCGGGCUUGCUUUGCGCAGUUUCGACUAACAAUGCAGUAAAUCGUUUCUAAAUUUCUAAUGGAGGCAUAUAUCAUGCAGGAGAAGCAACCGCGGCCAAAUUUAAGAAUGUCAGGCACCGCUGGUUGAAGAUUGUUUCCGGCGUGGAAAAACCGAGGAGCGGCUCCAGCGGAAAUGUUGGGAAAGUAAAAACAAAGUGGAUUUUAUUUGACGUGAUCAACGUUCUUAAGAACACGCCGCACUACGCUGAAAGGUAAUGUGUAACUAUGGUGCUCAUGUGACCGUGUGAAAUGAUUGCGUCUAAUUUGAGAGGGUACAUUUUUCGUUUUAUUAAGGACCGCCACAAACUUGCCGGUUGAGGAAUAUAGGUAUGAUGCUGUAUUUUUCUUUUCCUCUCUGCUACGUUUUACCCUAGAAAAAUCCUUUAUAAACUUACGAAUUUCACUGCCCCAGCGUUUUUGUUAAGCAAGGCUUAUACUACUGUUAUGCAGGGACACAGAGCAGCCCUCCACAUCCAGUUCGACUGCAGCAAGUCUUGACCUCGCAGAGAGCUGUCCCCUGAGCCCUGCUAAGGUUGUUUUUGAAGCAAUUAAAUAAUCCAGGUACUCCAAUGGCCCUGCUCUCUUGCUAUCAAAGGAAAACAGCCCAAGCAUCUAUGAACACCCAGGCACGGGAGCCGAUGUAGGUCCUUCACGGUAAG